rnacentral:rRNA from 1 species
UUGAAAGACCAGUUCCCGUACGAUCAUCGAAGUUAAGCAACGUCGAGCCUGAUGAGUACCUAGAUGGGUGACCGCUUGGGAAUGCCAGGUACAGUA